GUAUUGACAAAACAUGGAAAUGAGUGAAUGUUGAGAAUGACUAGAAUAUCAUGCAUGCUUGGGGAGGGGAAUAUGCACUUUUAGAUUCAAUAAAUGUUCAAGUCAUCAAUAUCUAAGAUCAAGCAAAGAAUAUCCAAAAAAGAGAAGAAGAAGAUAAAUAUAGAUAACUCACCAAUAUAUGCAGAGAUUGAAGAACAGGACAGGAA
rnacentral:lncRNA from 1 species